rnacentral:rRNA from 1 species
UACGUAGGGGGCAAGCGUUGUCCGGAUUUAUUGGGCGUAAAGAGCGUGUAGGCGGCCACACAGGUCAGCUGUGAAAACUCGAGGCUCAACCUCGAGACGUCGGUUGAAACCGUAUGGCUAGAGUCCGGAAGAGGAGAGUGGAAUUCCCGGUGUAGCGGUGAAAUGCGCAGAUAUCGGGAAGAACACCCGUGGCGAAGGCGGCUCUCGUGGGACGGUACUGACGCUGAGACGG